AACGAACGCUGGCGGCAUGCCUAACACAUGCAAGUCGAACGAGACCUUCGGGUCUAGUGGCGCACGGGUGCGUAACGCGUGGGAACCUGCCCUUAGGUUCGGAAUAACUUCCCGAAAGGGGUGCUAAUACCGGAUAAUGUCUUCGGACCAAAGAUUUAUCGCCUUUGGAUGGGCCCGCGUUGGAUUAGCUAGUUGGUAGGGUAGAAGCCUACCAAGGCGACGAUCCAUAGCUGGUCUGAGAGGAUGAUCAGCCACACUGGGACUGAGACACGGCCCAGAGUCCUACGGAAGGCAGCAGUGGGGAAUAUUGGACAAUCAGCGAGAGCCUGAUCCAUCAAUGCCGCGUGAGUGAUGAAGGCCUUAGGGUUGUAAAGCUCUUUUACCCGAGAUGAUAAUGACAGUACCGGGAGAAUAAGCACCGGCUAACUCCGUG
rnacentral:rRNA from 1 species